rnacentral:snoRNA from 1 species
AAACCAUGAUAAGGACACUCUAAACGAAGGUCUUUGAAACGUUCCAUACACCUAGAAAAUGAUUCAUUGGGUUUUUGAUGAAACUGGAGAAUGUCGUUCCUAAGUUU